rnacentral:rRNA from 1 species
UACGUAGGGGGCAAGCGUUGUCCGGAUUUAUUGGGCGUAAAGAGCGUGUAGGCGGCUUGGCAAGUCCGCUGUGAAAACUUGAGGCUUAACCUCGAGACGUCGGUGGAAACUGCCUAGCUAGAGUCCGGAAGAGGAGAGUGGAAUUCCUGGUGUAGCGGUGAAAUGCGCAGAUAUCAGGAAGAACACCCGUGGCUAAGGCGGCUCUCUAGUACGGUACUGACGCUGAGACGCGAAAGCGUGGGGAGCGAACAGG